rnacentral:lncRNA from 10 species
CUCAUUUAUUAGUGGGUUUCCCAACAAUCUUCCUGUUUCUUCUCAUUAUGUAUAUUGCUUCCCAGUGGUGAAAAUGGUGUUGAAUGAGAACAAGCAUUGUCAACUGGUGAUGUUCAUUGCUGUCCGUAGUCUAAGAAAUGAGGCAGAGAUGGAUGCUCAACAUAUGCUUAAUGCUGAGCCCCUCCCCCUUCAUCUAAAUGGGUUGCAACAUCUUCCAAAGUUGGAAAACCAUCCGAGUCAAAACAUAUCUACUGCUUGUUUCCUGGUAAAAGGGGCACUUUGAGAGCAGAGCCACCAGAAUUAAGAGUUUCAGAAGAGACCCAGAGGUCAAGACAAUCGGUGUGAAAUAUUCUACAUAUUAUGGGGAAGCAUGACCAUCAUUGAAAAACUAGGAAAGAGGUGAACCAAAUGGUUUUUCAGCAUCAAUCUAUCACCAGCCUCUCAGCUUAACAAAAAUGAGAAAAACUUAUCAAAGUCUAGAAUUGGAGGGCAAAGUAAUCAGUCUAACCUCUCCUAAAAAUACAACUAGAAAAGCAAGAAAAAGUAUGAAAAAGUAAAAUCUGUUUGCAAGUAUCAUAGAGUAACAAAAUGCUGAAGACUCACCAGCCUAGGUUCUAGGGAAGACAAAAGCUUAGAGAAGUGAGUUACUCAGGACAACACUACCAAUUUGGGAUCACUCUUGGGAUCUGUACUAAAUCCAGAGCGUGACUCUAAAUGGCUAAAAUACUGAGCCCUAGUUUUUAUGGCUUCCAUGGGCUAGAAUAAAAAAAAAAUUGAUGUUCAACUGCCAGCAGGAAGGUAGUGCUGGUGAUUCAGAAGUAAUAGGGUAAGCUGCAAGUAGAAAGAUUAUUACAGGUACUGCAGCUCAGCUUUGAGUUAUCUCCAUUGCUAAACUUGGACUAUGGUGAGUCCAUACUGAUAGGGUCACCAGUUGCCUGACAUAAACAAACAAGACUCCUCUAUGUAGGAAAGCAUAGGUUAGUGCAAAAGUAAUUGUGGUUUUUGCCAUUUAAAGUAAUGGCUUUACAUUAUUUCUACAAACAACUCUGCAAACAUAAGGUCUAGCACAUUAAAUAAAUAAACAAACAGAUACAAAGAGCCAACUCAACACAAAUAAAGCCAGAAAAAAACAACAGACAAUAAAACCUACCCAAAUGGAAAAUGGAGUUGGAGUUAUCCUACAUAGAAUUUAUAACAGCUAUAUUUAUGAUGUUCAAGGAUAUAAAAGAAAAAAAUUUAAAAAAUCAUCAGAAACCUCAAAAUAUACAGAAGAAUAAAAUGGAAAUUCUGGAACUUAAACAUAUAAAAAUACAUAUAUAAUAACCCAAAUAAGAACUCAACAGAUAGGUUAACACUGGACAGUUAUUGCUGUAAAAAACUAUUAGGAAACUGGAGCAUAUGUCAGAAGAAAAUAUACAAGGUGAAACAAGAAAAGACAAAAGAAAGAAAAAUACAGAAAAUAGUGUAUGUGACAUUGAUUAUACCAUAGAAAAUACUAAGAUACUGGAAUCCAAAAAGGUGUGGGAGAGAAUGAGGAAGAAGUAAUACUUGAAAAGCUAAUAGCUGUGAACUUUCUAAUACUGCUGAAAGACUUCAAGCCACAGAUGCAAAAAGUGUUAUAGGAUUAAAAAGAAACUGGGUGCCUGCUACAGAUUGAACAUUCCUAAUCUGAAAAUCAGAAAUCGUAAAUGCUUCAAAAUCCAAAACUUUCUGAGUGCCAACAUUAUGCCACAUUUAUAAAAUUUCACACCUGGCCUUACAUGAUGGGUUGCAGUCUAAACUCAGGCACACAACACACAGUUUAUUCAGUGUCUCCAAGGGAAAAAAGACCUUCCCAGGUCUCUUCAGCUGCAAUGUAUCUUUUCCUUACAUGCUCAGAUUUCCCUACAGAAGCACACCCACAAAGUGUCAUAAAAUGACACUAAUAAAGACCAGAUGGACCAAUGGCAGGUUCCCCACGAUGACUUACAUGAACAAGACCUACAUGCAUUACUCACUGUGGUUUUUUUGUUUGUUUGCUUAGUCUCUGUUCUAUGGUAUAGGUAUUGUUAAAAAUGUUCAAAAGGCUGGCACUGUUGGUAACAGUGAUAAGAAACAGAGGAAACAUUUAUCAUUACCUAUAGCACAGAAAGUCAAGCUUCUGGAGAAACUAGACAGCAGUGUGAAAGAAGAGUAUGGUGUUCAAAUAACCAUCAUAUAUGAACUGAAGAAACAAAAGGAUAGACUGAUGAAGUUUUAUGCUGAAGGUGAUAAACAGAAGUCAAUGGAAAAUAUAAAAACACUGCAUAGGCCAGGCAUGGUGGCUCGUGCCUGUAAUCCCAGCAUUUUGAGAGGCCAAGGUGGGUGGAUCACUUGAGGUCAGGAGUUCAAGACCAGCCUGACCAACAUGGUGAAACCCCAUCUCUACAAAAAAUACAAAAGUUAGCUGGGUGAUAGGGGCACACACCUGUAAUCCCAGCUACUUGGGAGGCUAAGACAGGAGAAUUGCUUGAGCUUGGUAUGUGGAGGUUGCAGUGAGCCGAGAUCACACCACUAUACUCCAGUCUGGGCUACAGAGUGAGA